rnacentral:rRNA from 1 species
CGGGAAACUGGGGAUAAUACCCUAUAGACUAUGGAUGCUGGAAUGCUUCGUAGUUGAAAGGUGCGCCGCUGUAGGAUGGGUCUGCGGCCGAUUAGGUAGUUGUUGGGGUAACGGCCCAACAAGCCUGUAAUCGGUACGGGUUGUGGGAGCAAGAGCCCGGAGAUGGAUUCUGAGACAGGAAUCCAGGCCCUACGGGGCGCAGCAGGCGCGAAAACUUUACAAUGCGGGAAACCGUGAUAAGGGAACUCGGAGUGCCCGUAGAAUCGGGCUGUCCAUCAGUUUAAAUAGCUGGUGAAGAAAGGGCCGGGCAAGACCGGUGCCAGCCGCCGCGGUAACA